rnacentral:lncRNA from 1 species
UUUUUUUAAAGGUAUUUGUGACCAACAGAUGCAUAUCUGUAUUCCCAGUCAUGUGAAAUCCAUAGAUUAGGGCCUAAUGAAUUCAUUUAAAUUGACUGACUUUCUUAUAUGAACUGUAACUCAGUAAAAUCUUUGAAAUUGCUGCAUGUCGCGUUUAAAUAUUUGUUUGAUUAUAGUUUGAAGUAAAAUAGUCUGAAGAAAAUGUUUCAGAUGACCUUCAACAAGAUGGCGGCUCGCUGUAUGCCUCAGUAACUCCAACAGUUCUGUUCCACUAAAAAGGCUCAAGUCUAGCUGCUCCGGACGUUUCCCCCUUCCGGGCCGGGCCUGAGAUUGUAAAUGGAUGAUAGCUGCCAUUUGUGAAGGUUACACACAAUGUUCCCUGAAUAAUGCUAGUGCCACCAAUUACUGUGCAGCCAGGUGGUUUGGUGCUCCCUCAGAGGCACAAUGUCCAACCACAAACACCUUGAAUUUAAUAUUCAAACACUGCAGUGCCAAAAGGAUUCAUUAUUAAGAGUUGGCUACAAUGAAAUAUGUCUUGUAAACAACUUUAAUUGUAUUGUCCUAGAUCAACUUAGAAUGUAUUUGAAAGAAUGCACACAAACCAUGGUAAUAUACUAUGAGCAUGGUCUCUUUUCCUAAAAUGACAAAUGCUUGCAAAUAAUGGCUUCAAUUAGGCUACUAUAUCCACAAUUAAACCCACCAGACUUACUUUCAUCUGAACGGUCACCUUUUAAAUGUCCACUUUGUCCUUAAGAGGCCUAUUUGAAAAAAAGUUGAAGCCUCCUUGAAGGACAUUUAAAUGUCUCAUCAUUUACAUUUGGGCAGAAGGCAUUUAUAAAAAUGUUAAAUGAAGCUGCCCUCUGAACCAGACCUGGGACUGCUGAUGGAUCACCUGGAGCUCAGCAGGUGUGUGUGUGUGUGUGUGUGUGUGUGUGUGUGUCUCUGACAAUUUUGGGACUUCCACCUUGGUUUCCAGCUCUGUGAGAUUUGCCUGUUUUAUCUUGGCUGAGGGAUUCAGCUGGCUUCUGGGUGCAUGUUUAGAUUGAGCUGGCUUCAGGAUGCAUGUUUAGAUUGAACUUCCUUCUGGUUGCAUGUUUAGAUUGAGCUGGCAUCUGGGUGCAUGUUUAGAUUGAGCUGCCUUCAGCUGCUUUCUUGGUGAAUGUUUAGGUUGACCUGGCUUCUGGGUCCAUGUUUAGAUUGAGCUGGCUUCUGGGUGCAUGUUUAGACUGAGAUGUCUUCUGGGUGCAUGUUUAUAUUGAGCUGGCUUCUGGGUGCAUGUUUAUAUUGAGAUGACUUCUGGGUGCAUGUUUAGACUGAGAUGUCUUCUGGGUGCAUGUUUAUAUUGAUCUGGCUUCUGGGUGCAUGUUGAGAUUGAGAUGACUUCUGGGUGCAUGUUUAGGUUGAGAUAGCUUCUGGGUGCAUGUUAAGAUUGAGAUGUCUUCUGGGUGUGUGUUUAGAUUGAGAUGUCUUCUGGGUGCAUGUUUAGAUUAAGCUGGCUUCUGGGUGCAUGUUUAGAUUGAUCUGGCUUCUGGGUGAAUGUUUAGAUUGAGAUGACUUCUGGGUGCAUGUUUAGGUUGAUAUGUCUUCUGGGUGCAUGUUUAGGUUGAGAUGUCUUCUGGAUGCAUGUUUAGAUUGAGCUGGCUUCUGGGUGCAUGUUUAUAUUGAGCUGGCUUCUGGGUGCAUGUUUAUAUUGAUCUGGUUUCUGGGUGCAUGUUUAGAUUGAGAUGACUUCUGGGUGCAUGUUUAGAUUGAGAUGACUUCUGGGUGCAUGUUUAGAUUGAGAUGACUUCUGGGUGCAUGUUUAGAUUGAGAUGACUUCUGGGUGCAUGUUUAGAUUGAGAUGACUUCUGGGUGCAUGUUUAGAUUGAGAUGACUUCUGGGUGCAUGUUUAGAUUGAUCUGGCUUCUGGGUGCAUGUUUAGAUUGAGAUGACUUCUGUCCAGAGCAAAUCCAAUGUAGGUCCUCUGUAAAAAAAUGACUCACUCAGAAGGAGAGAAAAAGAGCUGUGAUUCUGGCAACCUCCUCCUCUGCUCCAUCG